GAUGCAGAGGUGUGGAACCCUUGGAAAAUUUUCCCGUGACUGUUCCUGCAAAAUUCCAAACUCAAUGGUCCCUCUAGCUUUCUGUUGUUGCAUAAAAAGACAACAACGACGGGUUACUUCUAAUCCAGGGAGGGAAAGAGAUUCAUUCAUGGUGGAGAGGUUCAUGUAAAUCAAGGCUGAGGUAAGUUUUAUUUUCAUUUAUUUGGGAGAAAUAGGUAUAUAAUUAGACAAAUCCUAACAGUAAUGUAAAAUGCUUCCCAAAAAUCAAGGCACAGAAUUGUACACCUGGUAGUUUUGUUACUGUCAAGGCGUGCAAGCUUGAGUUUUGACUCCUUUAAAUAAAGUUUCCAAGGGGACCAUGCAAUAGGUACUUGUACCAAA